rnacentral:rRNA from 1 species
CCUACGGGAGGCAGCAGUGGGGAAUAUUGCGCAAUGGGGGCAACCCUGACGCAGCCAUGCCGCGUGAAUGAAGAAGGCCUUCGGGUUGUAAAGUUCUUUCGGUAGCGAGGAAGGCAUUUAGUUUAAUAGACUAGGUGAUUGACGUUAACUACAGAAGAAGCACCGGCUAACUCCGUGCCAGCAGCCGCGGUAAUACGGAGGGUGCGAGCGUUAAUCGGAAUAACUGGGCGUAAAGGGCACGCAGGCGGUGACUUAAGUGAGGUGUGAAAGCCCCGGGCUUAACCUGGGAAUUGCAUUUCAUACUGGGUCGCGAGAGUACUUUAGGGAGGGGUAGAAUUCCACGUGUAGCGGUGAAAUGCGUAGAGAUGUGGAGGAAUACCGAAGGCGAAGGCAGCCCCUUGGGAAUGUACUGACGCUCAUGUGCGAAAGCGUGGGGAGCAAACAGGAUUAGAUACCCCAGUAGUC